rnacentral:rRNA from 1 species
GAUGAACGCUGGCGGCGUGCCUAAUACAUGCAAGUCGAGCGAACGGACGAGAAGCUUGCUUCUCUGAUGUUAGCGGCGGACGGGUGAGUAACACGUGGAUAACCUACCUAUAAGACUGGGAUAACUUCGGGAAACCGGAGCUAAUACCGGAUAAUAUUUUGAACCGCAUGGUUCAAAAGUGAAAGACGGUCUUGCUGUCACUUAUAGAUGGAUCCGCGCUGCAUUAGCUAGUUGGUAAGGUAACGGCUUACCAAGGCAACGAUGCAUAGCCGACCUGUGAGGGUGAUCGGGCAAACUGGAACUGAGACACGGUCCAGGCUCCUACGAGAGGCAGCAGUAGGGAAUCUUACGGAAUGGGCCAAAACCUGACCGAGCCAAGGCGCGUGAGUGGUGAAAGGCCUAGGGUUGGUAAACCUCGUUUUUAGGGAAGAACAUAUGUUGAAAUUACUGUGGACAUUUUGAAGGUACCUAAUGAGAAAGGCCCGGCUAACUACGUG